rnacentral:rRNA from 1 species
ACUGGGCGUAAAGAGCUCGUAGGUGGUUUGUCGCGUUGUUCGUGAAAUCUCACGGCUUAACUGUGAGCGUGCGGGCGAUACGGGCAGACUUGAGUACUGCAGGGGAGACUGGAAUUCCUGGUGUAGCGGUGGAAUGCGCAGAUAUCAGGAGGAACACCGGUGGCGAAGGCGGGUCUCUGGGCAGUAACUGACGCUGAGGAGCGAAAGCGUGGGGAGCGAACAGGAUUAGAUACCCUGGUAGUCCACGCCGUAAACGGUGGGUACUAGGUGUGGGUUUCCUUCCUUGGGAUCCGUGCCGUAGCUAACGCAUUAAGUACCCCGCCUGGGGAGUACGGCCGCAAGGCUAAAACUCAAAGAAAUUGACGGGGGCCCGCACAAGCGGCGGAGCAUGUGGAUUAAUUCGAUGCAACGCGAAGAACCUUACCUGGGUUUGACAUGCACAGGACGCCGGCAGAGAUGUCGGUUCCCUUGUGGCCUGUGUGCAGGUGGUGCAUGGCUGUCGUCAGCUCGUGUCGUGAGAUGUUGGGUUAAGUCCCGCAACGAGCGCAACCCUUGUCUCAUGUUGCCAGCGGGUAAUGCCGGGGACUCGUGAGAGACUGCCGGGGUCAACUCGGAGGAAGGUGGGGAUGACGUCAAGUCAUCAUGCCCCUUAUGUCCAGGGCUUCACACAUGCUACAAUGGCCGGUACAAAGGGCUGCGAUGCCGCGAGGUUAAGCGAAUCCUUUUAAAGCCGGUCUCAGUUCGGAUCGGGGUCUGCAACUCGACCCCGUGAAGUCGGAGUCGCUAGUAAUCGC